UGGGGAAUAUUGGACAAUGGGCGAAAGCCUGAUCCAGCCAUGCCGCGUGUGUGAAGAAGGCCUUCGGAUUGUAAAGCACUUUAAGUUGGGAGGAAGGGCAGUUACCUAAUACGUAUCUGUUUUGACGUUACCGACAGAAUAAGCACCGGCUAACUCUGUGCCAGCAGCCGCGGUAAUACAGAGGGUGCAAGCGUUAAUCGGAAUUACUGGGCGUAAAGCGCGCGUAGGUGGUUUGUUAAGUUGGAUGUGAAAUCCCCGGGCUCAACCUGGGAACUGCAUUCAAAACUGACAAGCUAGAGUAUGGUAGAGGGUGGUGGAAUUUCCUGUGUAGCGGUGAAAUGCGUAGAUAUAGGAAGGAACACCAGUGGCGAAGGCGACCACCUGGACUGGUACUGACACUGAGGUGCGAAAGCGUGGGGAGCAAACAGGAUUAGAUACCCAUGUAGUCCCUGAGCGGGCUGGCAAGGCGCAU
rnacentral:rRNA from 1 species